UACAGAGGGGGCUAGCGUUGUUCGGAAUUACUGGGCGUAAAGGGUGUGUAGGCGGCUGGAUAAGUCUGGUGUGAAAUCUUCACCGCUCAACGGGAAGGGGUCACUGGAAACUGUCCAGCUUGAGUAUGGUAGAGGCAAGCGGAAUUCCUGGUGUAGCGGUGGAAUGUGUAGAUAUCAGGAAGAACACCGGUGGCGAAGGCGGCUUGCUGGGCCAUCACUGACGCUGAGACACGAAAGCGUGGGGAGCAAACGGG
rnacentral:rRNA from 1 species